GACGAACCGUGCGAACGUUGUUCGGAAUCACUGGGCUUAAAGGGCGCGUAGGCGGGCUGUCAAGUCUGGGGUGAAAUGCUGCGGCUCAACCGUAGAACUGCCUUAGAUACUGACGGCCUCGAGGAAGGUAGGGGCAUGCGGAACUAAGGAUGGAGCGGUGAAAUGCGUUGAUAUCCUUAGGAACUCCGGUGGCGAAGGCGGCACGCUGGACCUCUUCUGACGCUGAGGCGCGAAAGCCAGGGGAGCAAACGGG
rnacentral:rRNA from 1 species